GAUCGGUUACGAUGAGUCAAGGGUCCACGGCGUCGUUUCGGCACCUGAGUAACGGAGUAUUGCUUGGGAAGGCGGGAGCGGAACUGAUAGAUGGAGGGAGAGCCGUACGACGUCGUGCCCUGCUCCUCCGUCGCCGUCGAUUCCAUCCUCCGCAUCGGAACGGCCGGUGCAAUUUGGGGCCUAUGUUCCGGUCCCCACGAUGCUCGUAAACAAGGCUUGACUGGAGCAGCUCAGGCGGCUUUUGUGGCGAGGUCGGCUGGAGCGUGUGGAGUGCAAUAUGGACUCGUUGCUGGGAUAUGUACUGUUACUCAUUGUGGGCUUCAAAGAUAUCGGGGAAAGAGUGAUUGGGUUAGUGAAUGGUUUGGUUGCUGGUGCAGUAGCAGGGGGAGCCAUUGCCGCUAUGACACGAAGCUGGACGCAGGUGAUUCCUAUGGCUUGUCUGGUGUCUGCUUUCAAAGUUGCCACUGACUAUGCUAGAGCAAUUUGAAAUACCUCCUGGUGGAAGACUGCGGAGGAGCGCAUCUGAGAGGAGGUUGUUCUCCUCUCCUUACAUCAUAUGUUCCCUUUAAUGCAUACUUAAUCGAGAAUGAAUGCCCUUCAACCGAUAAACCCCUUCAGUCUUUGAAUUCUGGGUGAAACUAAACCAGGUGAGCAUUGUACAUGCUGAUACCCGAAAAACCAAAAAACACACACGAAAGAACAGGCAAAUCUCUGUUUAUAAUUAGUCAACUUAGACAUUACUGCAAUAUUAUAGAGCUUUUAUCUUCGUUUUUCUGUAAGUUUAUUUGUGAUUGCAUAAGAGACGGAGUUUCUACUCCGCGUAGGUUCAUACCAUGUCAAAACCAAGUGCAUAAAAUAACUAUUUACACUUGAACAUUGCGUUUUCGUGCAUCAUUGAUUCUGUUUGAGUUGGCUUCGAUACGAUUCUUGCUUGAUAUGUAAGUAUUAACAAGAAGCAGAUGAUGUAGGUUGUAAUUUGGUAAUUAGGAACCAAUGAGGGCCUAGGCUAUUUAUGUGAAAGAUAAUGAGUGACUAUCUUCUACCUGUUAACCUAAUUUUAUGAAGAAAGCAUGAGAAGUCAGUCUCUGGUUGAAUGAAUGAAUACGAGGUCAAUUGUUUAGGUGACGACUCAAUAAUUUGGUUCCUAUUUUGGGUGUAGGGGUUAUGCGGUUGGUGAAAUAUCAAAGUAUUUAUGAAAGAUUAUCAAAUUUAUUUUCAAGUAUUUUUUCUCUUUUCAUAUUAUACAAAGAUAUUUUAGGCCGAUAUUAGAAAUAAGGUUUAUUUUUAGCUAUGUCUCUUGAAACUCGAUUUUAAUCUCAUUUUGCUCCAUGUAACUCAAAAAUCGUCACUUUACUUUCUGAAACUCAUAGUUUGCUCCACUUUGCAUCUUGGAACUUGAUUUUGAUCUCAUUUUGCUCCCUAAAACUUCAAAAUCGUCUCAAUAAAACUUUAAAUUAGCUCCACAAUGCCUUACUGUUAGUUUCUUGUGUGCGUUUAAGUUGGGUGUGCAGGCUAAUUAAUUUUUUUAUCUCUUCAAUUUUUUUUUUAACUUAAUAUUCUUUGAUUGUUGGAUGUUAACUCAUGGAGAUUUAUAAUCAAAUUUAUUGCAUAUGUAGCAUAAUCUUAUUGGGUGUUGGAUCCCACAUAUGUUUUAAGAUGCGAUUUAUAAGUUUCAAGGAGAAGAGAAAGUAUACAAGUCAAAGUGAAACGUAUUUUGAGCUUUAAAAAAUAAAAUAAUGACUUUUAAGUUAUAGGACAAAAUAAAAUUAAAGUGCAGUUUAAGAGGGCGUAACUAAAAAUACAAGGUGGGUAAAAAAGAGAAGAGUGGUGGGUGGACUUGUCGCCAUUCAACAUUAAACAGGGCACCCUAAAGUAGAAAUGGUAGAUGGUACCCUAAAGUCAUUUCAAAGUCUUAUCAGAAUCUCUUGGUACCCUAAAGUAGAUGGGAGCAGGAUUCUCUACUAUUCUCUACUCUCCUAAUCUCUUUACCCUUCUAUGAUUUUCUAUUUGAACGGUUACGGUUAAACCGCGUCAACAUCUUAUAUUAAUUUUUUUAUAGAGAUAAUAAGACAAAAAACAAUGUUUGAGAGGACGGGAUGAAAGGAGAUGGGAAUAGGAGGGUAGAGAAUCCUCCUCCUAAGUGGACAGGGUGCGGGAGAAGGAUUAUUUCCCCUCCUAUUACCAUCAUCUUCCAUCAUCUCAUGUCACACUCUUCUUUUUGUCUUAUUCUCCAUAUAAAAAAUUCAAAACAAGAUGUAGAUGUGGCGUAAUCGCAACUGUUUAAAUAGGAGGGGAUAGAAGGGCAGAGAAUCCUACUCUAAGUAGAAAAUAGUGCCCUAAAAAUUAAAUGAUGUUAUAAAUUUAAGUAGGCACAAAGCAACUAUAUCAAAUGACUUUAAAAAGUUUGGUGCUUGGUUGGUGACACAAAUAAAUAAAUAGGUAUCAAAGCAAAAUGCAUAUCACCUAAAAGUAAAAGAUGGUGCUCCCGUAUAUACAACUAUACAAAUUAUACAUUUUUAAGGAUUUUUUCUUUCUUUUUUCCGUGAACUUUACUAUCAACUUUUUCACGGCUCGUGAUGCACUAAACGUCGAAACACAUAAUUGUUACGACACUAAUGCUUAGUUUUUUUUGUACAAACGACAAUGGAGGAUGCUCUGAUCGUCGGGUUGGCGUGCGGUUGGAGGCAUGGAAUUGGGUGAAUCUCGAAAUACUGUUGCAGAGGCGGCGGCUGUCGAAUUCUUGGUUCUGCCGGCGUUCUUGUGGUGUUUCUGUUUUGGGCCCACGUUGUGGGUUGGGCUUAGGUUUUGUUUGCUGGGCUGGUCCUUUUUGUUUGUAUAUGUACUUUUGUUUUUGGACCCUAGUUUGUUCAGGUUGUAAGUUUGUCUGUUUCUUGUGGUAAUAUAAUUACCUUUUUU